CAGCAGCCGCCACGGGAACACGAAGGGGGCUAGCGUUACUCGGAAUUACUGGGCGUAAAGGGCGCGUAGGCGGCGCUCCAAGUUAGGCGUGAAAGUCCUGGGCUCAACCUGGGAACUGCGCUUAAGACUGGAGUGCUUGAGGAUGGAAGAGGGUUGUGGAAUUCCCAGUGUAGAGGUGAAAUUCGUAGAUAUUGGGAAGAACACCGGUGGCGAAGGCGGCAACCUGGUCCAUUACUGACGCUGAGGCGCGACAGCGUGGGGAGCAAACAGGAUUAGAUACCCGCGUAGUCCCUGUCUCUUU
rnacentral:rRNA from 1 species